UUAUAUGAAAAAUUAGGAUGAUUCUUCCAGUUGGAGUUAUAGGUAUGCGAGUAGGGAUUUCCUUGAGCAUAGUUUACUUGCUCUGCUUGGAUUCCUGUUAGGAGUUGACAAUCUGCAGGAGUGUGACCUUGGAUUCCACAGACUUCGCAAUUCUGAGUUAUGGCAACCACGGUGGCUGGAGGUGAUACAUUUAAACUUUCAAUUUUCUGG
rnacentral:lncRNA from 1 species